rnacentral:misc_RNA from 1 species
UUUCCGUAGGUGAACCUGCGGAAGGAUCAUUAUCGUAACAACCGAGGCGCGAGGGCUGUCGCUGAUCUGAACCCUCAGGUCGUGCACGCUCGAGCGUCCUCGUACAUCCAUCUCACCCCAAUGUGCACCACCGCGUGGGUCUCCCUUUGGCUUGUUCGAAGGGGGGCUUACGUUUUCACACAAACUUUUAUGCAGUGUAGAAUGUACCUUUGUUUUGCGAUCACGCAAUUAAUACAACUUUCAACAACGGAUCUCUUGGCUCUC